AAAUUUGAAAUCUGGCGCAAGCCCGAGUUGUAAUUUGUAGAGGAUGCUUCUGGCCAGCGGCCGUUCUAAGUGCCUUGGAACAGGACGUCAUAGAGGGUGAGAAUCCCGUAUGUGACCGGCGCGCAGCCUUUACGUAGCUCCUUCGACGAGUCGAGUUGUUUGGGAAUGCAGCUCUAAAUGGGAGGUAAAUUUCUUCUAAAGCUAAAUACCGGCCAGAGACCGAUAGCGCACAAGUAGAGUGAUCGAAAGAUGAAAAGCACUUUGGAAAGAGAGUUAAAAAGCACGUGAAAUUGUUGAAAGGGAAGCGCUUGCAACCAGACUUCGUAGCGAUGUUCCGCCGGUCUUCUGACCGGUGUACUCAUCGCCGCGAGGCCAACAUCGCCUGGGCCCGCUGGAUAAGACCUAGGGAAUGUAGCUUCCCUCGGGAAGUGUUAUAGCCUGUGGUGAUGCAGCGUGACUCGGGCGAGGUCCGCGCUUCGGCAAGGAUGUUGGCGUAAUGGUUGUCAGCGGCCCGUCUUGAAACACGGACCAAGGAGUCUAACAUCUAUGCGAGUGUUCGGGUGUCAAACCCCUACGCGUAAUGAAAGUGAACGGAGGUGGGAAGCGUCCGCUGCACCAUCGACCGAUCCUGAUGUCCUCGGAUGGAUUUGAGUAAGAGCAUAGCUGUUGGGACCCGAAAGAUGGUGAACUAUGCCUGAAUAGGGUGAAGCCAGAGGAAACUCUGG
rnacentral:rRNA from 1 species